rnacentral:rRNA from 1 species
UACGGAGGGUGCAAACGUUGUUCGGAAUUACUGGGCGUAAAGCGCGUGUAGGCGGCCCUGCAAGUCGGAUGUGAAAUCCCACGGCUCAACCGUGGAAGUGCAUUCGAAACUGCAGGGCUAGAGUCCUGGAGAGGAAGGUGGAAUGCUUGGUGUAGAGGUGAAAUUCGUAGAUAUCAAGCGGAACACCGGUGGCGAAGGCGGCCUUCUGGACAGUGACUGACGCUGAGUGAGCGAAAGCCAGGGGAGCAAACGGG